GCAAAAAUCAUAAAUUGAAACUAAAAAAGAAAAAUGGCAAACAAGAUUGUUGCACUAUUUGUUAUGUGCCUGGUUGUUGUUGCUGCUGUGCAGCUAAUUCCUCAAGCUCAGGCUGAUACUUUUGAAUAUUGCUUCGUUCAUUGUGAAAAAGAUUGCAUCGCCUCCGGUCAGGGCAAAACCAACUGCCAAACGAAGUGCAACUCCGACUGCUUCGACAAAGUGAUCGCCGGUAAGGAUCCCAAUCCUUGAGCUUUAUGAACACUUAUGGAGUGGAUCAUGCUACUAAUUCAUAAUGUGUAUAAUAAUGGCACAACAAUGAAGGAGUACCUUUUUUGUAUUUUUGAUCAUUUGUAAUAAAAAAUUAUUAAUUAACCAUUUUAUUUUAAUAUAUGUAUUUUUUGUAUAAUAAAAAAAAUUAUUAAUUAACUAUUUUAUUUUUAUA